rnacentral:tRNA from 1 species
GCCUAGGUGGCGAAAUCGGUAGACGCAGCGGAUUCAAAAUCCGCCGGUGGUGACACCGUGUCGGUUCGAGUCCGACCCUAGGCACCA